UUUUUUUGCCCCUAAUUCCUAAACUGUUGGGACUAAAACUCCCAAAAUCAAUCCCAACCUUCCUCUUGUGGUCAUAGACCUUAUGUUAAAAUUUCAUAGAUUUCUGUUUACUUAUACUAAAGUUAUUGUGUGAAAACCAAGAAAAAUGCUUAUUUGGACCCUUUUUGGCCCCCAAUUCCUUAACUGUUGGGACCAAAACACCCAAAAUCAAUCUCAACCUUCCUUUUAUGGUCAUAAACCUUGUGUUUAAAUUUCAUAGAUUUCUAUUUACUUUUACCUAAGUUAGAUUGCGAAAACCAAAUGUCUUCGGAAGACAACAACUGACAACGAUGACGCCAACGUGAUACCAAUAUACGACCAAAAAAUUUUCAAUUUUUGCGAUCGUAUAAAACCGAAUUCCUAAAAUAUUGGGACCAUAACCCCCAAUAUCAAUCCCAAC
rnacentral:lncRNA from 1 species